rnacentral:misc_RNA from 1 species
GCAGGGUAGACUCACAAACUAAGCGCCUAUAAAAAUAUUCCACAACAUCCUAAAAGACAGCAACUGCAAAAGAUGGCCUCUUCAAGGUUUCUGUUCUUCCUAUGCUGUCUCCUUUCCACACAAACUGUGCCCCUGAUCACCCUAGCCCAGCCUGCCAUGUUGUACCAUGACUGUUUACCAGGAAAGGGUAACUACUCAGCCAAUAGUUCCUACCAGGAAAACCUGAAUCAACUCCUCACUUCCAUCUAUACUAACACCGAAAUAGAUUCCGGGUUCUACAAUCUCUCUCAUGGACAAGACCCUGACAAAGUUUAUGCGAAUGGUCUUUG